AACGUAGGAACCGAGCGUUAUCCGAAUUUACUGGGCGUAAAGCGCGUGUAGGCGGUUUGGUAAGUUGGAUGUGAAAGCUCCUGGCUUAACUAGGAGAGGCCGUUCAAAACUACCAGACUAGAGGACGGUAGAGGGGGGUGGAAUUCCCGGUGUAGUAGUGAAAUGCGUAGAUAUCGGGAGGAACACCUGUGGCGAAGGCGGCCCCCUGGGCCGUUCCUGACGCUGAUACGCGAAAGCUAGGGGAGCGAACGGG
rnacentral:rRNA from 1 species